rnacentral:rRNA from 1 species
AUUGAACGCUGGCGGCAGGCUUAACACAUGCAAGUCGAGCGGGGGAAGGUAGCUUGCUACCGGACCUAGCGGCGGACGGGUGAGUAAUGCUUAGGAAUCUGCCUAUUAGUGGGGGACAACAUCUCGAAAAGGAUGCUAAUACCGCAUACGUCCUACGGGAGAAAGCAGGGGAUCUUCGGACCUGGCGCUAAUAGAUGAGCCUAAGUCGGAUUAGCUAGUUGGUGGGGUAAAGGCCUACCAAGGCGACGAUCUGUAGCGGGUCUGAGAGGAUGAUCCGCCACACUGGGACUGGGACACGGCCCAGACUCCUACGGGAGGAAGCAGUGGGGAAUAUUGGACAAUGGGGGGAACCCUGAUCCAGCCAUGCCGCGUGUGUGAAGAAGGCCUUAUGGUUGUAAAGCACUUUAAGCGAGGAGGAGGCUACUUUAGUUAAUACCUAGAGAUAGUGGACGUUACUCGCAGAAUAAGCACCGGCUAACUCUGUGCCAGCCGCCGCCGUAA